rnacentral:rRNA from 1 species
AGAGUUUGAUCCUGGCUCAGGAUGAACGCUAGCUACAGGCUUAACACAUGCAAGUCGAGGGGCAGCAUGGCCUAUCUUUCGGGAUGGGCCGAUGGCGACCGGCGCACGGGUGAGUAACGCGUAUCCAACCUUCCCUUUACUGGGGUCCAGCCCGUCGAAAGGCGGAUUAAUCCCCCAUGUUCUCCGUCCCGGACAUCUGUGUCGGAGCAAAGAUUUAUCGGUAAAGGAUGGGGAUGCGUCCGAUUAGCUUGUUGGCGGGGUAACGGCCCACCAAGGCAUCGAUCGGUAGGGGUUCUGAGAGGAAGGUCCCCCACACUGGAACUGAGACACGGUCCAGACUCCUACGGGAGGCAGCAGUGAGGAAUAUUGGUCAAUGGCCGUAAGGCUGAACCAGCCAAGUAGCGUGAGGGAAGACUGCCCUAUGGGUUGUAAACCUCUUUUAUGCGGGGAUAAAGGUGUCCACGUGUGGAUGUUUGCAGGUACCGCAUGAAUAAGGACCGGCUAAUUCCGUGCCAGCAGCCGCGGUAAUACGGAAGGUCCGGGCGUUAUCCGGAUUUAUUGGGUUUAAAGGGAGCGUAGGCCGGUCUUUAAGCGUGCCGUGAAAUUUUGUGGCUCAACCAUGAGAGUGCGGCGCCAACUGGAGACCCUUGAGUGCGCGGAAGGCAGGCGGAAUUUCGUGGUGUAGGGGUGAAAUGCUUAGGAUAUCACGAAGGAACCCCGAUUGCGAAGGGCAGCCUGCCGCAGCGUUACUGACGCUGAAGCUCGAAAGCGCGGGUAUCGAACAGGAUUAGAUACCCUGGUAGUCCGCGCGGUAAACGAUGGAUGCCCGCUGUCGGCGAUAUACAGUCGGCGGCCAAGCGAAAGCGUUAAGCAUCCCACCUGGGGAGUACGCCGGCAACGGUGAAACUCAAAGGAAUUGACGGGGGCCCGCACAAGCGGAGGAACAUGUGGUUUAAUUCGAUGAUACGCGAGGAACCUUACCCGGGCUUGAAUUGCAGAGGAAAGAUCCAGAGAUGGUGAUGCCCUUCGGGGCCUCUGUGAAGGUGCUGCAUGGUUGUCGUCAGCUCGUGCCGUGAGGUGUCGGCUUAAGUGCCAUAACGAGCGCAACCCCUUUCCCUAGUUGCCAUCGGUUCUAGCCGGGCACUCUGGGGACACUGCCUCCGCAAGGAGUGAGGAAGGUGGGGAUGACGUCAAAUCAGCACGGCCCUUACGUCCGGGGCUACACACGUGUUACAAUGGGUUAUACAGAGGGCCGGCCGCUGGCAACAUCGGUCCAAUCCUUAAAGUCAUCCUCAGUUCGGACUGGGGUCUGCAACCCGACCCCACGAAGCUGGAUUCGCUAGUAAUCGCGGAUCAGAACGCCGCGGUGAAUACGUAUCCCGGGUCUUGCACACACCGCCCGUCA